AGUCAAACAGCACGUGAAAUUGUUGAAAGGGAAGCGCUUGCAGCCAGACUUGCUUACAGUUGCUCAUCCGGGUUUUUACCCGGUGCACUCUUCUGUAGGCAGGCCAGCAUCAGUUUGGGCGGUAGGAUAAAGGUCUCUGUCACGUACCUCCUUUCGGGGAGGCCUUAUAGGGGAGACGACAUACUACCAGCCUGGACUGAGGUCCGCGCAUCUGCUAGGAUGCUGGCGUAAUGGCUGUAAGCGGCCC
rnacentral:rRNA from 1 species